rnacentral:rRNA from 1 species
UACGGGGGGGGGUAAGCGUUUGUUCGGAAUUACUGGGCGUAAAGAGCUCGUAGGCGGCUUGUCACGUCGGGUGUGAAAGCCCGGGGCUUAACCCCGGGUCUGCAUUCGAUACGGGCUAGCUAGAGUGUGGUAGGGGAGAUCGAAUUCCUGGUGUAGCGGUGAAAUGCGCAGAUAUCAGGAGGAACACCGGUGGCGAAGGCGGAUCUCUGGGCCAUUACUGACGCUGAGGAGCGAAAGCGUGGGGAGCGAACAGG